rnacentral:rRNA from 1 species
CCCCUACGGGAGGCAGCAGUGAGGAAUAUUGGUCAAUGGGCGGAAGCCUGAACCAGCCAAGUCGCGUGAAGGAAGACGGUUCUAUGGAUUGUAAACUUCUUUUGUAGAGGAAUAAUGGCAGCUACGUGUAGCUGAGAUGCAUGUACUCUACGAAUAAGUAUCGGCUAACUCCGUGCCAGCAGCCGCGGUAAUGGG